GCUCAUUUUGGUAGCACAUAUACUAAAAUUGGAAUAAUACAGAGAGGAUUAGCAUAGAACCCUGCAAAAGGAUGACAUGCAAAUCUGUGAAGCAUUCCAUAUUUCA